GAAUGAUGCGGACACUGCAGAUAAGGAAAUAACUUGUUGACGGCCUUCUUCAAGCAAACAGCUCAGGCGCAUUGACGGACCAGAAUGACUGAUCAGUGAAUUUUGAACGUCACAGGCCAAAACCCAUGGCAGCUUACAGGUUUCUGGUGUCAGUUGCCACUGAACACUUUGCAUGGCUGUUUGACUUCUGGUCAGAACCUUUGUCCCACAACAUUGGAUAAGAGGACCUGUUAGCAGACAGUUAUGCUCGUCUAGCGGCUUGGCUGAGGCUGGAAGUUCAAGAUGGCUUCAUUCACACGUCUAGACAUUAGUGCUGGCUUUUCAACGGAUCUCCCCAGGAGGUUUGCCAGGUUUUCUUUAUGUGGUGGUCUCAACACAAAAAGAGGACAAGCCUCAAUGUACAGUGCUUAUGAAAUCUCUCCUUGCAUCAGGUUUGCUGUCCCUUCGGCUCCUGCAAGUCAUUCCUCAGGAAUCCCACUUCUAUGCAGUGUUGUCGUAUUAGUUGCCCCAGCAUGAGCAUCCCUGAUUUUAUCUCUUUCCAUCAGUCAUCUGACGGAAGCCUACUAUA